rnacentral:rRNA from 1 species
ACGACGCUGGCGGUGUGCUUAACACAUGCAAGUGGUGCGACGAACCAGAGCUUGCUCUGGGGCAAAGCCGCGAACGGGUGAGUAACACGUGGGUAAUCUACCCCGAUGACCGGGACAACCCGAGGAAACUCGGGGCUAAUACCGGAUGUGGUACGGAGACAUAAGUCUCUUUACUAAAGGUAGCUUCGGCUUCCGCAUUGGGAGGGGCCCCGCGGCCCCAUUAGCUAGUUGGUGGGGUCAAGGCCUACCAAGGCAACGAUGGGUAGCUGGUCUGAGAGGACGAUCAGCCACACUGGGACUGAGACACGGCCCAGACUCCUACGGGAGGCAGCAGUGGGGAAUCUUGCGCAAUGCGCGAAAGCGUGACGCAGCAACACCGCGUGAGGGAAGACGGCCUUAGGGUUGUAAACCUCUUUCAGAUGGGACGAAGGUGAUGCGGUGAAUAGCCGAUGUCAUUGACGGUACCGUCAGAAGAAGCUCCGGCUAACUACGUGCCAGCAGCCGCGGUAAUACGUAGGGAGC